ACGAACGCUGGCGGCGUGCUUAACACAUGCCAGUCGAACGGAAAGGCCCUGCUUUUGUGGGGUGCUCGAGUGGCGAACGGGUGAGUAACACGUGAGUAACCUGCCCUUGACUUUGGGAUAACUUCAGGAAACUGGGGCUAAUACCGGAUAGGAGCUCCUGCUGCAUGGUGGGGGUUGGAAAGUUUCGGCGGUUGGGGAUGGACUCGCGGCUUAUCAGCUUGUUGGUGGGGUAGUGGCUUACCAAGGCUUUGACGGGUAGCCGGCCUGAGAGGGUGACCGGCCACAUUGGGACUGAGAUACGGCCCAGACUCCUACGGGAGGCAGCAGUGGGGAAUAUUGCACAAUGGGCGGAAGCCUGAUGCUGCAACGCCGCGUGCGGGAUGACGGCCUUCGGGUUGUAAACCGCUUUCGCCUGUGACGAAGCGUGAGUGACGGUAAUGGGUAAAGAAGCACCGGCUAACUACGUG
rnacentral:rRNA from 1 species